CAGGCCUGAGACUGUGAGACCCUACCAUGAAUGCUGUCCUCCCCUGCUGUGUAAUCUUUGGUCUCCUGGGGGCAGGACACAUGGAACCUGGGGUCAGGCAAUCUCCCAGCCACAAGGUGACAGAGAUGGGACAGAAUGUGACUUUCAGGUGUGACCCCAUUUCUGGUCAACAGUACAUCUACUGGUAUCGGCAGACUGCAGAGAAUGGGAUAGAGUUUAUGGUUUAUCUUUAUGACAAAGACCCUAUGGAAAAGGCAGACUUCUUCAAGGACAGAUUCUCAGCAGAGGUGCCCAAAGGAUCAUACUCCAUUCUAAAGAUCUGGCCCGUGCAGCUGGGAGACUCAGCCGUGUACCUCUGUGCCAGCAGUCAGGCACAGCCUCACACAGACAUUUCCUGUUCCUACAUAAACUCAGCAUGUUCCCCUCUUCCCAGGCUUGAAGAAGCUCUUCCUUCCUAG